CCUACGGGUGGCAGCAGUAGGGAAUAUUGCUCAAUGGGGGAAACCCUGAAGCAGCAACGCCGCGUGGAGGAUGACGGUUUUAGGAUUGGAAACUCUCUUUGUGAGGGAAGCUAAUGACGGUAUCUCACGACUAAGCACCGGCUCACUCCGUGCCAGCAGCCGCGGUAAUACGGAGGGUGCAAGCGUUACUCGGAAUGAAUGGGCGGAAAGCGUGCGCAGGCGGGCUUGUAAGUAAGGUGUGAAAUGCUGUAGCUUAAACACAGAACUGCCUUUGAAACUAGGAUGCGAGAGUGUGGGAGAGGUAUGUGGAAUGCGUGGUGUAGGGGUAAAAUCCAUAGAUAUCA
rnacentral:rRNA from 1 species